GACGAACGCUGGCGGCGUGCUUAACACAUGCAAGUCGAACGGAAAGGCCCUGCUUUUGUGGGGUGCUCGAGUGGCGAACGGGUGAGUAACACGUGAGUAACCUGCCCUUGACUUUGGGAUAACUUCAGGAAACUGGGGCUAAUACCGGAUAGGAGCUCCUGCUGCAUGGUGGGGGUUGGAAAGUUUCGGCGGUUGGGGAUGGACUCGCGGCUUAUCAGCUUGUUGGUGGGGUAGUGGCUUACCAAGGCUUUGACGGGUAGCCGGCCUGAGAGGGUGACCGGCCACAUUGGGACUGAGAUACGGCACAGACUCCUCCGGGAGGCAGCAGUGGGGAAUAUUGCACAAUGGGCUGAAGCCUGAUGCAGCAACGCCGCGUGCGGGAUGACGGCCUUCGGGUUGUAAUCCGCUUUCGCCUGUGACGAAGCGUGAGUGACGGUAAUGGGUAAAGAAGCACCGGCUAACUACGUG
rnacentral:rRNA from 1 species